GCUCCGGUAGCUCAGCGGAUAGAGCAGCUGCCUUCUAAGCAGUUGGUCGUGGGUUCAAUUCCCGCCCGGGGUACCA
rnacentral:tRNA from 1 species